GAAUAUUGGAAAAUCAGUGUCAGAUUUGUGAUUUUCAAGACCCCAAGGCUUCAAUUUUCAGCCAUUUAAUCUCGGGAAUUACCUCGGCAUAACGGUGCGGAAAUACCGCCGCCGAAGCGAUAAGCAAAUCUCAAGAGGAAAUUAUAAUCAGCGUAUCAAGUUUUUGUUUUUAAAUUCCUGCGUGGCGCUUCUACAUCGGCAAUUUUGAUGGAUAAGCUCCCUCAAACAGCAAUCGAUCGAUAACGGGCUUUGUUUGAGAGGACGCUAGGCUGUUUUUUCGCCUCCCCCUCAUUUGGCAAUUAGCCGCUGCGACCAGGUGUUGGACCGAAAGCGAAAUCGUCACGCUCCGAAAAUGGAUUAUGUUAAUGGUGGCAUCGCGGCGAGAUGACGCGACGGCACCGCAUCGAAGUGGGUUACCGGUGGAAGAAACGGUUUCUGUUGCAGGAAUGCAUCGGGUCCGGGGGCCGAUGCUGCGAUACGUUCAAGGUCGGAUAUGCUUCGCAGAGACCGGUGUUGGCGGAUUGCGCAGGAACAGUUUAAUCCUUUCACAUUUGUUUGUUUGUUUAUUGUUAUUGUGGCGGUGAUUGUGCAACGGUAGCGCCAAAGUCAAGGACGAUGGACGACGGAUUGAUUGAUUGGACGGAAGAAUUAUUGGGAAAACUGUUGUGGCACGAAGAUGAAGAGAAUUUCGUAACUGGUCUGUUGAGCAACGUGAAGUUUAUGCGAUUAGUUAGAACGGGAGGGGCCACGGUUUGGAUUAGCGUUCGGUUGCUAAUCCUGUUUCGCGGUGUGGGUUUCUGAAUCCCGGGAGUGGCUCAAGAAAUUUGUACGUUUAAAUGUUUGUUGUGUGCUUGUGAAUUUUAAACUGUGCUGUUAAUGUUGCUAAACGUCGCGUUGUGCACAUAACGUAAAAUGGAAUGAACGACGUUCAAACAAAUACAUGUCACACCACAAUGUAUUUUAACUUGAUUAUUAUCCCUCCCGGUUCGCGUGUGCAUGUUUACAUUUCAGCGCCCGCUCAAUUUUCCCGGAUUUAAAUGUUGUACGAAGUUAAUUUCCAAGUUAAAAAAUAAUAAAUAUUAAUUCUGA